rnacentral:rRNA from 1 species
UACGUAGGGUGCGAGCGUUAAUCGGAAUUACUGGGCGUAAAGCGUGCGCAGGCGGUUUUGUAAGCCAGAUGUGAAAUCCCCGGGCUUAACCUGGGAAUGGCAUUUGGGACUGCAAGGCUUGAGUGCGGCAGAGGAGACUGGAAUUCCUGGUGUAGCGGUGAAAUGCGCAGAUAUCAGGAGGAACACCGAUGGCGAAGGCAGGUCUCUGGGCCGAUACUGACGCUGAGGAGCGAAAGCGUGGGGAGCGAACAGGAAUAGAACCCUGGUAGUCCAGACAUGUACCUCUAGCACCG